rnacentral:rRNA from 1 species
CAGCUUGUUGGCGGGGUAAAGGCCCACCAAGGCGACGAUCCGUAGCUGGUCUGAGAGGACGAUCAGCCACACUGGGACUGAGACACGGCCCAGACUCCUACGGGAGGCAGCAGUGGGGAAUCUUGCGCAAUGGGCGAAAGCCUGACGCAGCGACGCCGCGUGAGGGAAGAAGGCCUUCGGGUUGUAAACCUCUUUCAGGAGGGACGAAGCCACUCGGGUUAAUAGCCCAGAGGGUGACGGUACCUCCAGAAGAAGCCCCGGCUAACUACGUGCCAGCAGCCGCGGUAAUACGUAGGGGGCAAGCGUUGUCCGGAUUUAUUGGGCGUAAAGAGCGUGUAGGCGGCUUUACAGGUCCGCUGUGAAAACUCGAGGCUCAACCUCGAGCUGUCGGUGGAAACCGUAAGGCUAGAGUCCGGAAGAGGAGAGUGGAAUUCCCGGUGUAGCGGUGAAAUGCGCAGAUAUCGGGAAGAACACCCGUGGCGAAGGCGGCUCUCUGGGACGGUACUGACGCUGAGACGCGAAAGCGUGGGGAGCGAACAGGAUUAGAUACCCUGGUAGUCCACGCCGUAAACGAUGGGUGCUAGGUGUGGGAGGUGUCGACUCCUC